UGGGGAAUUUUGCACAAUGGGGGAAACCCUGAUGCAGCGACGCCGCGUGAUUUAGAAGGCCUUCGGGUUGUAAAAAUCUUUUCUAUGGGAAGAAAAUGACAGUACCAUAGGAAUAAGGACCGGCUAAUUACGUGCCAGCAGCCGCGGUAAUACGUAAGGUCCGAGCGUUGUCCGGAAUCAUUGGGCGUAAAGGGUACGUAGGCGGGUAAGCAAGUUAGAAGUGAAAUCCUAUAGCUCAACUAUAGUAAGCUUUUAAAACUGCUCAUCUUGAGGUAUGGAAGGGAAAGUGGAAUUCCUAGUGUAGCGGUGAAAUGCGCAGAUAUUAGGAGGAAUACCGGUGGCGAAGGCGACUUUCUGGCCAUAACCUGACGCUGCGGUACGAAAGCGUGGGUAGCAAACAGG
rnacentral:rRNA from 1 species